AGAUCGUGAUGUUUCGGGCAUGUUUUUUCGUCCUGGUUGCCGCUUCCCGCUCGAAACCCAAGUCUCUUACUUGAUUGCACCGUCUCCUUCAAGCGCUAACUUCUCCCGCUCUGCCCCUCCCUCCCUCUCUGUCGCAUUCAUUCGCAGCAGCACCCCCACCACCACCCGCCUUUCAUCUCCCUCCCGUUUAUUCCUUCCGCCCAUCUGCUCGCACCGCCUCCCCUGCAAACUUUCUGUCCAUCUGGUUGCUUGCAUUCUAUCCUGCACCUUGGUGAACCUGCAGCGCUGCUUAAGUUGAAGCUUGCCCUUCUCUCUCUCCGGCUUUCCCUCUAUUACCAUUACUCUUCAUUCUGUCCUCCCCCCCCGGACGAGUUCCACUCUGUUACAGUUGAUGGGAUGAAUAUGAGGGUGAUCUUUUCCAAAUCUCAAUUCUGCCUCUACUUUCAAGCUCUUUGGACAACCGCCCGCCUGCUUCGGCUCCAUUGUUCCCUUUCGGCUUUCGGCUUAUGCAUGUACGUGCUCCGCCCUGCCCCGGCUACUUACCGCUUCCCCCCUGCGAGCGCCCUCACGGCCGUCCUCGCCAUGCCGUGAGACCUGCCAGUCCUCGCAUCUGCUGCUUCAAGAUGGUCGGUCACUUUCCUAUCAUCUGUUCGUGCCUUUCCGCAAAAUCCUCCCUGGAGUACUUACACUUGCUGCUCCUAAAUCGCCCCAGUUGCACGUACAUCCGCAAUUUGAACACCUCGCUCCCUUCCUCUGCUUCAAGUUGUGUUCUACUGCUGUUCACUCUUCUCCAUUUCUGGGCACUCUGCCAUCACCAAGGUGCUCGAUAAAACGUCUGUUAGUACAAUCAUUGCGGUCUCCACGGAGUGAUGCUAUCGAUCUUCUCGCCAAACAGGUUCGAUAUCACUUUCAAUUGAGUUUGCUUAACCCACAUUUUGCUGUUUUAUCCCUUGCUUAGCACUAGCUAUCUCUUAGGCUCUCACCUUGUUGUUGCUGGUUGUAAUCUUCCUCGGUAUUUUUGUGGAUUAGUUGCUGCUUUAAUUUUACUGUCUUGUUGUCUCUUUUUCCUUUGUCUUGGUGUUUUCUCAUGCCCUUCCUUUGUUCAGUACGGAUAUAGCUCUUGUGUCCAGCUUUGCUUAACGAAGCAAGAUCAGUACAUGCCCAAAAACUUGCACUUAGAAGUAUCGUUAUUCCUUUUGUAUUUUUUUUAAUUUUUUUUGGCUCUAUAGUGAUACAGUAAACGGGGUUGCCAUGAAUCUGCUCCAUUCCACUUUGUGAGCAGGAUUGCUCAAAAGUGGACGCUAGCCGUGCUUGCAUACUUGACCUGUUCUGUCACAGAGUUAAUAUAUAUAGACAAUGAAAAAAGUUCGUAGUAACAGUUCUGAUUUGUUUAGCAUUUGCCACCCUUAUGUAUGAUGACUCUGCCUUUCACGGUGCCACCUUGCCCAAGAUUUCGUGGAUUAGCUGAUACUCUACGUCUAAUUACAUAGUCAUGUUGCCCUUUCUCCCCCACUUCUCCCUCUUAUUUGGAUAUAAUAUAUAUAUAUAUAUAUAUGUAUAUACCUGUGUAUACGUGCUUAUGCUCCAACUUUACUAUUUUGGUCAUUAGAUGGGGGCAACCAUAUAGAUUUGCUUAUUGAAUUGGAAUUAGGCAUGCCAGAAACUCGCCCUUAUAGCCAUGGUUCUUCUUUUUCUUUUUCUUUUUAAUUUUUUUUUUUAUUUUACCCCUUCUGUCAUUUUCUCAGUUUCUGAUGCCAGUUAUUUCUAAUAAGGAGAACCCAUGAAAAUGGUCCAAUGCAGUUUGAGGAAAAUGGAUGAUAUUAUGACCCAAGAUGAACUAAUCCACAAGGAAUGUAGUUUUACUAACAGUUUUGGAUUGUUUGCUCCGCCUAUUUUGAAAUGUUUACGUCCGAAACAUCACCCAAUAUCCAAUUGCUCCUUAAUGUUUGUGCAGACACUUUGCUCUUGUCACGUCUCUUGAUACUUCAAUUGCCACAGCGCAGAGGUGAAUUCCUCCAUGCCUGUCUAUUCGUGCCUCUGAUGUCUAAUUUCCCCGCUUUUAUUAUAUUCCUAUGUGAAUUUACUGUUGCAUCCAGUCUUUCUUUCACUUAGAUUUCAUGCUUACCUCUUUAAUUAUUCCUUCCCUCGAGGAAGGAAUAUCUUGCGAUAAUUGGUAUGCUAGGCUUACACCUGAACAAAAAAGGAGGAGCUUUGCUAAUAACAAAGAAUGCCGGAACAGGAACCAUCUAACUGCUAUUGGGCGAGGGUGCCUACCAUAGCAGCAGUUCAACCAUGACCAUCGUCACCCAUCCAUGGCAGCAGGCAGCUCCUGUGCCCAUCGCAUCGCUCUGCCCCAAAUACCAUUGAUGUAGUUACUGCAGAAGUGGUUGCAUGGAAUGGCAUACCUAAGCCAAGAUGGAGCCAUUUGAUCAAUAUUAAGCCUUUAUUACUAUCAACUGGACUGCAUCCGUAUGUGUAUUCUCCGCAGGGAUGAGCAUAUGAAGCUAAAUUUUCAUGUCUUGAACGGAAAGGGCAAGGACAUUAUCCAAACCUUGCUGUGAGAAGGAUCGGAGUCCAUGAUGUCUUUGAAGACCUUUGAUGUCGUGUUCUUGUAAUUGUACCAAUACUUUGUAAUAAAUAGUAUAUAUGUUCAUCAUUACGUCACAUGUAUUGCGGAGAUUUGCUUGCUAAAUCAAUAAUAUAAUCUAUUGAAAAUAAA